rnacentral:misc_RNA from 1 species
GAUGAAGAACGCAGCGAAAUGCGAUAAGUAAUGUGAAUUGCAGAAUUCAGUGAAUCAUCGAAUCUUUGAACGCACAUUGCGCCCGCCAGUAUUCUGGCGGGCAUGCCUGUUCGAGCGUCAUUACAACCCUCAGGCCCCCGGGUCUGGCGUUGGGGAUCGGCGGAAGCCCCCUGCGGGCACAACGCCGUCCCCCAAAUACAGUGGCGGUCCCGCCGCAGCUUCCAUUGCGUAGUAGCUAACACCUCGCAACUGGAGAGCGGCGCGGCCACGCCGUAAAACACCCAACUUCUGAAUGUUGACCUCGAAUCAGGUAGGAAUACCCGCUGAACUUAAGCAUAUCAAUAAGCGGAGGA